AAAAAUACCUCAAACUUUACUAGAAAGACAGUGAUUUGUAUUUUUCAUGUGUUGUAGUGUGUGUGCAGACCUUUCAGAGCCACCGUGAUGCUGCUGGGUCCUCGUGACAUGCAGCGAGACGGCUGUGUCUCAGGGGCUUCUCCUCCCAGAACUCUCUUUAUGUGGCCCAUGCUGUAGCUGUAGAUGGAGUCUGUGGAGAGGCCCAGGCUGAAGACUAAAUGUCUCACUUUAAAAGCCUGGCUGACAGCAGAAUCCAACAUGACCCAGUCCAUCCUGCCAUUCACCCUGACUGUACCGAUGAAGAAGUCCUGCUGUUUAACCUCCUGCGGAGAUGAGAUGAAAUCACCAGCUCGUCAGAGACUGGACUGUACCUGAGCUGCUGCCCUCGCUCAGCCCUCUGCUGUAGCUUUUGGGCAUGUGCAUGGCUACAGACUGUCGAGGUGAUGAACUUCCCAGAGCUGUGAGCCCAGAGGACUGGGAAGCGGAGUUGGAGGGUCCCGGGGAAGGACAGGGAGACAGAUUGCCCGUCCUCAGAUGAUCGUUCUCAGCCUUCAGACUCUCUACUGUCCUCUGUGAAGCAACGUCAC